UACGUAGGUGGCAAGCGUUGUCCGGAAUUAUUGGGCGUAAAGCGCGCGCAGGCGGUCCCUUAAGUCUGAUGUGAAAGCCCACGGCUCAACCGUGGAGGGUCAUUGGAAACUGGGGGACUUGAGUGCAGGAGAGGGGAGCGGAAUUCCAUGUGUAGCGGUGAAAUGCGUAGAGAUAUGGAGGAACACCAGUGGCGAAGGCGGCUCUCUGGCCUGUAACUGACGCUGAGGCGCGAAAGCGUGGGGAGCGAACAGG
rnacentral:rRNA from 1 species